UACAGAGGGUGCAAGCGUUAAUCGGAAUUACUGGGCGUAAAGCGCGCGUAGGUGGUUUGUUAAGUUGGAUGUGAAAUCCCCGGGCUCAACCUGGGAACUGCAUUCAAAACUGACAAGCUAGAGUAUGGUAGAGGGUGGUGGAAUUUCCUGUGUAGCGGUGAAAUGCGUAGAUAUAGGAAGGAACACCAGUGGCGAAGGCGACCACCUGGACUGAUACUGACACUGAGGUGCGAAAGCGUGGGGGAGCAAACGG
rnacentral:rRNA from 1 species